rnacentral:tRNA from 1 species
AUUUAAAUAGUUUAAAAAAAAUUUCAAUUUGUGGGGUUGAGGAUGUGAAAAGUUUCAUUUUAAGUA